UUUUUUUUUUUUUUUUUGGGGUGGUUGGGUGGAGUGUCUCACAAAGUUGCAGGCUUUGCUUGCCUGCCUGAAGAGCAGUUGUGGGGAGUUCUUCAAAUAGCUAGACAACCCUUGGCUGUCAGAGGACCCACCUAACAUGAAACCCUUGGCUGUCAGAGGACCCACCUAACAUGAAACCCUUGGCUGUCAGAGGACCCACCUAACAUGAACUGGAAGGAGCCCUUUCCAGCGUGCUUUUUUGGGUGUUCCAAUGGUGACUUGGUAUCUAAAAUACCUUGUGAAAACUGUGUAGUCACACCCAUGAACCCUUUCCGCAUUUAGUAGGAAGAUGCAGAUUGCUUCAAGCCUGCUGAUACAUGUAUUCUAUAAACACCUAAAUGUGUAUCCCCCCCUUUUUUUUAAUUUAUAUGUGAAAAUUGAGAUGGAAUGUAUGGCAGACAUUAGAAUAGGGCAAUAGUGCUAACUGUACAUAUCUUUAGGCUGCCUAAAUUUAUAUUAAUAACUUGGAGGAGGAGGAGGAACACUGGACAGCCAGCAAGUCGUAGUGGUUUGUUUUUUUUUUCCCCUCUUUCAAAGCAACUAUUUUAUUUAAGGACAUACAGUGAAAUGAGAUGAAAAUUACUGGUUAUUUGCAGACUUGUGUAGUUUGCCACUGUUUAGAAUGGUCAAGAUCACUGUCAUUUAUUGAGCCAUUAAAAAAUGGUGAGUUUUAUAAUAUAAAUGUGGACAAUAUUAUUCUUAAACGUAUUUAAACAUGAAAGAAAGGCAGAAUCUGGUUUGACAUAUGUUGUUAUCAUGCAGUUAAAACAUGAAUUUCUCCUAAUUAGUUUCCUACAUCCUUUGACUAUGUCCGUAUAUGCAGACCCCAGCAGAUUCAGUCUGGUUUUGUGUGGAUGCAGUUAGGAUUAGGACCUUGUAAUCAGUAAUUUCAGGGGAAGAUCGCACUUCCCCUCAGGAAAAAAUACCAGGAGUGGUUUUUAUUCACUGCAGAUCUUUGAAUUUUGGUUGCAUCAGAAAUCGUGUCAUUGGAUGCCAAACACAUAUACUUAUUUACUGAGGUAG
rnacentral:lncRNA from 1 species